rnacentral:rRNA from 1 species
UACGUAGGGUGCGAGCGUUGUCCGGAAUUAUUGGGCGUAAAGAGCUCGUAGGCGGUCUGUCGCGUCUGCUGUGAAAACUCAGGGCUUAACCCUGAGCUUGCAGUGGGUACGGGCAGACUAGAGUGCGGUAGGGGAGACUGGAAUUCCUGGUGUAGCGGUGAAAUGCGCAGAUAUCAGGAGGAACACCGGUGGCGAAGGCGGAUCUCUGGGCCUUACCUGACGCUCAGGUGCGAAAGCUAGGGGAGCGAACAGG